CCCUUAGAUGUUCUGGGCCGCACGCGCGCUACACUGAUGCAUUCAACGAGUUUCUUCCUGGUCCGAGAGGAAUGGGUAACCUUUUGAAAGUGCAUCGUGAUAGGGAUAGACUAUUGCAAUUAUUGGUCUUCAACGAGGAAUUCCUAGUAGACGUAGUUCGUCAGACUGCAUCGAUUACGUCCCUGCCCUUUGUACACACCGCCCGUCGCUCCUACCGAUUGAAUGCUCAGGUGAGCCAUUCGGACCUUCAUCAUGCCGGUUUCCGGUUUUGAUGAGGGAAAGUCUUGCGAACCUUAUCAUUUAGAGGAAGGAGAAGUCGUAACA
rnacentral:rRNA from 1 species